rnacentral:lncRNA from 1 species
UCAGGAAUGAAUUGGGAUGACCAUAGAUUAGAAAAAUAAUUACAACUCUUCAAUGACGUUCUCCAACAAAAUAAGUAGAAGAAGAAAGAAGCUGCGAUCGAGUUGAUGAAAGGUAUAUUGUUUCUAUUUCUACCUUCUCCAUUUGUACCAAUCUUAAUCUGAACACUACCCACAUCUAGAUCUCCAGGUGUAGGAAAGUUCGUUAUGGCAUGACAAAGAACCAAAUGAACACACGAAUAUGUGAACCUUCACCUCCUUCUAAAUACUAUAGGACUGUUAUCAGAGGCCGUAUCACACUCGCAUCUUUGAUAGCGUGCCUCAAUAAGCUCUAUUCUGGCACAAAACCAAGGCUUAUUGCGUCCCUCAUAAUGAUGUUUCUUUGGAAACUACUAAGAGAAUCCAACAAACCAGAUAUUUCUUCUUCGAUCCCUUCUUUUUGUUCGCUAUAUUAUAAGCAACUAAAUUACAUAUUGCAGUUGCACCAAGCUUCAUUCAACAACCAGCACACCUUACUUUUAUUUUUAUACAGGUUGAACAAACUUAACAAGCAGUAGACAUACUUUACUUCCUGGCCUCCAGGAAUGCUGCUCCGCCUUCUUCUCCGGUGGAAACCGGCAUCGAAGAGCCACUCGGGUGAACUUUCUUUUUCGAUCCCUUCUCUUUCUCUGCGCCCUUCUCAUCUCCCCUCCUCUCCAUCUUCUCCUUGGUUUGUGCUCUCAGUAUACUGAUGCGGGCAUAGUUGAAUCCAAGAGGAACCAUGCUGUGAUAGAGUGGCAAUGGAGGCUUGAAGCUUAAUUGGUGUAAAAAUUCAGUGUGGGACUCAGAGAUGGAGGCAAGGGGUAUUAUUUAUAGGACUCCCAACUGUCUUGUCUUCUUCUUGGUUGGAUUGCAAGGCCAGCUAUUAGUUUCUCUCCAGCUUGUCAUGAUUUUGUUGUGAAGAAAUAGAUAAACG